AUUGAACGCUGGCGGCAGGCCUAACACAUGCAAGUCGAGCGCGCGGCGGGCGGGAGAGUAAUCUAGGGGGCUCUGCCCGGUAGAGGGGGAUCACUACUGGAAAGUGGCGCUAAUACCGCAUACUAGCGGAUGACCCGAUCUGGGAUUAGCGAGUAGGUGGGGUAAAGGCUCACCUAGGCGACGAUCUCUAGCUGGUCUGAGAGGAUGAUCAGCCACACUGGGACUGAGACACGGCCCAGACUCCUACGGGAGGCAGCAGUGGGGAAUAUUGCACAAUGGGCGCAAGCCUGAUGCAGCCAUGCCGCGUGUAUGAAGAAGGCCUUAGGGUUGUAAAGUACUUUCAGCGGGGAGGCGUUACCCGCAGAAGAAGCACCGGCUAACUCCGUGCCAGCAGCCGCGGUAAUAC
rnacentral:rRNA from 1 species